rnacentral:rRNA from 1 species
AUUGAACGCUGGCGGCAGGCCUAACACAUGCAAGUCGAACGAGCGGCGGACGGGUGAGUAAUGUAUGGGGACUGCCCGAUAGAGGGGGAUAACUACUGGAAACGGUAGCUAAUACCGCAUACUAUCGGAUAACCCAUAUGGGAUUAGCUUGUAGGUGAGGUAAUGGCUCACCUAGGCGACGAUCCCUAGCUGGUCUGAGAGGAUGAUCAGCCACACUGGGACGGAGACACGGCCCAGACUCCUACGGAGGCAGCAGUGGGGAAUAUUGCACAAUGGGCGCAAGCCUGAUGCAGCCAUGCCGCGUGUAUGAAGAAGGCCUUAGGGUUGUAAAGUACUUUCAGUCGGGAGGCGUUACCCACAGAAGAAGCACCGGCUAACUCCGUGCCAGCAGCCGCGGUAAUAC